GCACAGACGUGGUAGAAACCCAGCUUUGGUAAUGCUGAUGAGCACAUCAGGGAAUGGUGAUGCAGCAGAAAGAAACCUGUGUUGUUUGAUGACCUUCACCACCUGGACCAGAGGGACUGUAAUGUGAGAAAUAUAUUUCUAUCUACGGACCACUGAGUUCGAGUUCAUGGAGAAUGCCAUUUCUUCUGCACAUUCAAAUGUGUAAACUUGUAGGAUGUUCCUUGAUUGAAGGUGAAUCUGGAGCAACUGUUCUUUGGAUAAAUGCUGGCAAGGUAGGAGAAAAGAGAAAAAUAAACCUAGGUGAAUAGAAUCCCUGGGCUGACAAAAUUAAAAUGAUACACUCGUCCACCCAGUUUCUCAAACCCCGGCUCCUUCUUUCCUUUGGCCUGCCUGCUCGACCCACCCAACUUAAGAGUAAAUUCCGAGGA